GAUGAACGCUGGCGGCGUGCUUAACACAUGCAAGUCGAACGGGAAUUAUUUUAUUGAAACUUCGGUCGAUUUAAUUUAAUUCUAGUGGCGGACGGGUGAGUAACGCGUGGGUAACCUGCCUUAUACAGGGGGAUAACAGUCAGAAAUGGCUGCUAAUACCGCAUAAGCGCACAGAGCUGCAUGGCUCAGUGUGAAAAACUCCGGUGGUAUAAGAUGGACCCGCGUUGGAUUAGCUGGUUGGUGGGGUAACGGCCCACCAAGGCGACGAUCCAUAGCCGGCCUGAGAGGGUGAACGGCCAAAUUGGGACUGAGACACGGCCCAGACUCCUACGGGAGGCAGAAGUGGGGAAUAUUGCACAAUGGGGGAAACCCUGAGGCAGCGACGCCGCGUGAAGGAAGAAGUAUCUCGGUAUGUAAACUUCUAUCAGCAGGGAAGAUAGUGACGGUACCUGACUAAGAAGCCCCGGCUAACUACGUG
rnacentral:rRNA from 1 species